CCUACGGGAGGCAGCAGUGGGGAAUAUUGGACAAUGGGGCAACCCUGAUCCAGCCAUGCCGCGUGUGUGAAGAAGGCCCUCGGGUUGUAAAGCACUUUCAGUGAGGAAGAACGCCUGGUGGUUAAUACCCAUCAGGAAAGACAUCACUCACAGAAGAAGCACCGGCUAACUCCGUGCCAGCAGCCGCGGUAAUACGGAGGGUGCGAGCGUUAAUCGGAAUUACUGGGCGUAAAGCGCGCGUAGGUGGCUUGAUAAGCCGGUUGUGAAAGCCCCGGGCUCAACCUGGGAACGGCAUCCGGAACUGUCAAGCUAGAGUGCAGGAGAGGAAGGUAGAAUUCCCGGUGUAGCGGUGAAAUGCGUAGAGAUCGGGAGGAAUACCAGUGGCGAAGGCGGCCUUCUGGACUGACACUGACACUGAGGUGCGAAAGCGUGGGUAGCAAACAGGAUUAGAUACCCUGGUAGUC
rnacentral:rRNA from 1 species